rnacentral:rRNA from 1 species
UACGUAGGGGGCAAGCGUUGUCCGGAAUCAUUGGGCGGAAAGCGCGUGUAGGCGGCUUCGUAAGUCCGUUGUGAAAGUCCAGGGCUCAACCCUGGAAUGCCGAUGGAUACUGCGGAGCUAGAGUCCGGAAGAGGCGAGUGGAAUUCCUGGUGUAGCGGUGAAAUGCGCAGAUAUCAGGAAGAACACCCGUGGCGAAGGCGGCUCUCUGGGACGGUACUGACGCUGAGACGCGAAAGCGUGGGGAGCGAACAGG